CACGUAGGGAGCAAGCGUUGUCCGGAUUUCUUGGGCGUAAAGAGCUCGUAGGUGGUUCGGUAAGUCAGGUGUGAAACCUCCAGGCUCAACCUGGAGACGCCACUUGAUACUGCUGUGACUGGAGUCCGGUAGGGGAGCGUGGAAUUCCUGGUGUAGCGGUGAAAUGCGCAGAUAUCAGGAGGAACACCAGCGGCGAAGGCGGCGCUCUGGGCCGGUACUGACACUGAGGAGCGAAAGCGUGGGUAGCAAACAGG
rnacentral:rRNA from 1 species